rnacentral:rRNA from 1 species
AGAGUUUGAUCCUGGCUCAGGACGAACGCUGGCGGCGCGCCUUACGCAUGCAAGUCGCACGGACCUUCGGGUUAGUGGCGGACGGCUGAGUAACGCGUAGGUAACCUAUCCAGUGGUGGGGGACAACUCGCCGAAAGGCGAGCUAAUACCGCAUGUGUUCCCGGUGUGAGAUCCACCGGGAGGAAAGCCUUCGGGCGCCACUUGAGGGGCCUGCGUCCUAUCAGGUAGUUGGUGGGGUAACGGCCUACCAAGCCUGUGACGGGUAGCUGGUCUGAGAGGACGACCAGCCAGAAGGGGACUGAGACACGGCCCCUACUCCUACGGGAGGCAGCAGCGAGGAAUCUUGGGCAAUGGGCGAAAGCCUGACCCAGCGACGCCGCGUGAGGGAUGAAGGCCUUCGGGUCGUAAACCUCUUUUGUGAGGGAAGAAGUUCUGACGGUACCUCACGAAUAAGCCACGGCUAACUACGUGCCAGCAGCCGCGGUAAUACGUAGGUGGCAAGCGUUGUCCGGAUUUACUGGGCGUAAAGGGCUUGUAGGCGGUUCGUUAAGUCCGGUGUGAAAUCUCCCGGCUCAACUGGGAGGAGCCAUCGGAAACUGGCGAGCUAGAGGUGGGCAGAGGAAAGCGGAAUUCCCGGUGUAGCGGUGAAAUGCGUAGAUAUCGGGAGGAACACCAGUGGCGAAAGCGGCUUUCUGGGCCUAUCCUGACGCUGAGGAGCGAAAGCGUGGGGAGCAAACCGGAUUAGAUACCCGGGUAGUCCACGCCCUAAACGGUGGAUGCUAGGUGUGGGGGGGUGUCGACCCCCUCUGUGCCGUAGCUAACGCUUUAAGCAUCCCGCCUGGGAGUACGGCCGCAAGGCUAAACUCAAGGAAUUGACGGGUGCCCGCACAAGCGGCGGAGCGUGUGUUUAUUCGAUGCACGCGAAAACCUUACCAGGCUUGACAUGCUAUUGUACGAUCGAAACGUGAGACCCUUCGGAGCUAGCACAGUUGCUGCAUGGCUGUCGUCAGCUCGUCGUGAGGUUGUUGGGUUAAGUUC